rnacentral:tRNA from 1 species
GGGCGAGUAGCUCAGUACGGAUUGGUUGCUGUAACAAUCGGCAAUCACGUAAAGAGCACCAGCCUCCUAAGUUGGGGGUCGAGGGUUCAAAUCCCUCCUCGUCCGCCA